rnacentral:rRNA from 1 species
AUUGGUAACGAUAGCAAAGUGGAUACACCUGUUCCCAUCCCGAACACAGAAGUUAAGCACUUUAACGCCGACAAUAGUGUAUGCGAAGAUAGGUAGUUGCCAAUU